CACAUAGUGUUUCUCUGCCUGGUGGUAG
rnacentral:misc_RNA from 1 species